AAAAGAAAAGAAAAGAAAAAGCUUAGUCUGAGGACAGCUGACUCAUAAACAGAACCUGAGGAUCUCUCCCCAAGAGCCCCGAGUGCAGUUUCCACUUGGACUUUGCCCCCCCGCCCCCAUUCUCUGCAGCCUAUGGUAGUUCCCAGGAACGAGGCACCCCACAUUGAUGGGGGAAAGCCCAGAGCAGGUGGGAGGAAGAGGGUGUCUGCUCCUUAAAUCACGUGUGACACUCCGCUUAUAGUCCUUGUAAUCUGGCUGAUGUGUGAGUGCUCACGGAUAUGGAGAUGGUCGAGACAGGAACCUGGAGAGCUUGUCCUGCAUGUGACAGAGGAGGGCUGAGCAAGCCCAGCAUGGACUGGGGGAAAUUCAUGGUGAAAAGUGACAGCAUGGCGUCUGAGGCCAAGCUGGCUGCCUUGUCUGGGAGAAGGAAUGAGAACUUCUGUGGGGGCUGCAGGGGAAUCAUCGGGGGCCCAAAGAGCAAGCCACAUUCUCGCCCCUGCAUGGCCCACCUGGAAACUGUCACUCCCCAGGAUAAGCUGCCGGCUCGUGGUGGUUUCCUGAUAAGAAGGGGCUUCGUGCGGACAGCUGCUCACUGUGCAGGAAGGUGAGACAACAGGGGCCUGUUUCUCUCCAAAUGGGAGCCACCAGGGACACCCCAGCAGGGCCUGAGGGAGGCUCCUGGGCCUGGGUCUCUUUAAGGAGAGGCAAGCCUCAAGGAAAAAGAACUCAGCUGAACACAGCCUGACCCUCACUCACUGUGAACUCAGCUCCCCUACAAAGGAAAGGAGCCCCUCUUCUAGAAGUAGCCCCCUCUCCCUGACCGCAACACGUGGGAUGUGGCCUCACUCUUCAGAGUCCUCCCCAGUUCUCUGGGCCACUUCCUCUAGACCCUUUUCAAGGACAUUAAGCUUUAAGUCUCAGGGACCUGAACCCAUCCUCUCCAUGAGAGGCCGGGAACAGGGUCUACUUGAGACUUCACCACUCCCCCCUUUCCUCUGGCACCUCUGGCUCCAGAGAGCUUUGUGCGGUUUUUUGUUCUUUUUAGGGCCACACC
rnacentral:lncRNA from 1 species